GACAGUUCACACCUGGCUGCCUGUUUUGUUAAAUCACUUGCAGCAUCCUUAGUGUCCACCAGAGAGCGCAGUUCUACGCGUCUGGUGCGGAAACAGGGAGGACAGAGCCCUUCAGCCCGCCAGGGCUUGCAGACAGCGUAGGCACACAGAAAGAAGAGAUAUCCUGAAGAUAAGACUUCCAUUUUGGUCCAUUGUGGUGUGCAGAGUGGCCUGAAACUACAACUGCUGUUUUAUAUGAGCGAUUCAAGGCAUGAUUAAUCAAUCCCAGCUCUGGACUCCUCAAUCAAUUACUUGGGCAGCCAGCCUCUGACUGAUUGGAUCCCGCAGACAAGCAUGAGCAACUGACUAUCCGGAUCAAGAGUACAGUACGGGAGGAGCCAGGACAGGACGGGAGCAAACACGUGAGGUGAGGAGGCCGCUGCCUGAGCUUGGGAGGAUAGGCUGACUUUCCUUUGUGAGCAGAUCAUAGAGGCACCAGCUGAGGUCCAGGGGAUUCUGUUCUCCUUGAGUGCUUUCCAAAACGGACACCCCCAUCGCAAAGACGAUCUUGUAACACAAGAAUGGUAGCCAGUAUGGGGGAUGCUAUACAAGGAAGCUGAAUGGUCAAAGGCAGGCCUUGGUCGAAGGCAUCCUGGGUCUGUGACUGCUCUGUAUCAUCAGGGUCCCCUGCCUGACUUGGCCCACUCCACUCCUGUUUAGACGUCUGUAGAGAACGCUGUAAUCCGGAAAUCAGAGGGCACCAACAGAAGAUACAAAGAACCAGUGACAACUCCCA